rnacentral:rRNA from 1 species
AUUGAACGCUGGCGGCAGGCUUAACACAUGCAAGUCGAGCGGAGAUGAGGUGCUUGCACCUUAUCUUAGCGGCGGACGGGUGAGUAAUGCUUAGGAAUCUGCCUAUUAGUGGGGGACAACAUUCCGAAAGGAAUGCUAAUACCGCAUACGUCCUACGGGAGAAAGCAGGGGAUCUUCGGACCUUGCGCUAAUAGAUGAGCCUAAGUCGGAUUAGCUAGUUGGUGGGGUAAAGGCCUACCAAGGCGACGAUCUGUAGCGGGUCUGAGAGGAUGAUCCGCCACACUGGGACUGAGACACGGCCCAGACGCCUACGGGAGGCAGCAGUGGGGAAUAUUGGACAAUGGGGGGAACCCUGAUCCAGCCAUGCCGCGUGUGUGAAGAAGGCCUUAUGGUUGUAAAGCACUUUAAGCGAAGAGGAGGCUACUGAGACUAAUACUCUUGGAUAGUGGACGUUACUCGCAGAAUAAGCACCGGCUAACUCUGUGCCAGCAGCCGCGGUAA